rnacentral:rRNA from 1 species
GAUGAACGCUGGCGGCGUGCCUAAUACAUGCAAGUCGAGCGAACAGACGAGGAGCUUGCUCCUCUGACGUUAGCGGCGGACGGGUGAGUAACACGUGGAUAACCUACCUAUAAGACUGGGAUAACUUCGGGAAACCGGAGCUAAUACCGGAUAAUAUAUUGAACCGCAUGGUUCAAUAGUGAAAGACGGUUUUGCUGUCACUUAUAGAUGGAUCCGCGCCGCAUUAGCUAGUUGGUAAGGUAACGGCUUACCAAGGCAACGAUGCGUAGCCGACCUGAGAGGGUGAUCGGCCACACUGGAACUGAGACAAGGUCCAGACUCUUACGGGAGGCAGCAGUAGGGAAUCUUCCGCAAUGGGCGAAAGCCUGACGGAGCAACGCCGCGUGAGUGAUGAAGGUCUUCGGAUCGUAAAACUCUGUUAUUAGGGAAGAACAAAUGUGUAAGUAACUAUGCACGUCUUGACGGUACCUAAUCAGAAAGCCACGGCUAACUACGUG